rnacentral:lncRNA from 1 species
GUUUUAUUGAAGUAUAGUUGAUUUACAAUGUUGUGAUUUCUGCUGUACAAAAAAAGUGAUUGUUACACAUAUACACACAUCCAUUCUUCUUAGUAUUCUUUUCCCAUAUAGAUCAUCACAGAAUAUUGGGUAGAGUUCCCUGUGCUGUACCACAGGUUCCUGUUGGCCAGUCAUUCCAUACACUUCAGGGGGCCUAUGGCAUUCUCAAACCCCCAGUCCGCCCCACCCCACUUGCCCUCUUUGGGAACCAUAAGUUUGUUUUCAAGGUUUGCAAGAGUCUGUUCUGCAAUAAGCUCAUUUGUAUCUUUAGAUUUCACAUAUAAAUGAAAUCGUAUGUUUGUUUUUCACUGUCUAGCUUUGCUUAGUAUGAUCAUUGCUAGGUCCAUACAUGUUGCUGCAAAUGGCAUUAUUUUAUUCUUUUUAUGGCUGAAUAAUAUUUCAUUGUAUAUAUGUACUACAUCUUUUUUAUACAGUCUAUAUAUGGCUCUUGUUUUUGCAGCCAUUCAGCCAAUCUGUCUUUUGUUUGGACUAUUCAGUCCAUUUACAUUUAAGGGAAUUAUUGUUAUGUAUAUUCUUAUUGCCAUUUUGUUAACUGUUUUUAUUGGUCUUUUUUUUUUUUCUUCCCUUCUUUUGUUCUCCUCUCUUGUGGUUUGAUGACUAUCUUUAGUAUUGUGUUUGGAUUGCUUUUUCUUAUUUGUGCAUUUAUCUAUUGCAGAUUUUUGGUUACCAUGAGGUUUUGAUAUAGGAGUCUAUGUACAUACAGGAUUGUUUUAAGAUGCUGGUCUCUUUAUUGCAAAUACAUUUCCCAGAUCCUACAUUUGUACCCUCUUCUCUUGACUGCUGGUUUUGGUAGCAUAUUUGUGUGUGGAUGAUUUCCUACCUUUAGUAUUUGUUUGCCUUUACUGGUGAGCCUUCUUAUUUGUAAUUUUCUUAUUUUCNCCUUUUCUUUUCUGCCUAGAGAAGUACUUUAGCAUUUGUUGUAAAGCUUUUCCCUAGCUGCUUUCAGUAUUUUCUGUCUUUAAAUAAUUUUUGUCAGUUUGAUUAAUGUGUCUUGGGGUAUUCCUCCUUGGGUUUAUUUUAUAUGGUACUCACUGUGCUUCCUGAAGUUGAGUGAGUGAUUCCUUUCCCAUGUUAGGGAAAUUUUCAGCUAUUAUUUCUUCAAAUAUUUUUCUCCAGCCUGUUCUCUUUCUCCUUAUGCAAAUAUUGGUGUGUUUAAAGUUGUCCCAGAGUUUUCUUAGACUGUCCUCCAUUCUUUUCCCUUUAUUCUGUUCCACGUCAGUGAUUUCCGCCAGUCAGUCACCUACCUUGCUUUUCUGUUCUUCUGCCUCCUGUACUAUGCUAUUUGUUCCUUCUAGUGAAUUUAUUUUGGUUAUUGUGUUGAUCAUCUCUGCUUGUUGAAUCUUUAAAUCUUCUACGCCUUUUUAAAAAUGUUUCUUCCAAUUUAUUGAUCUUUGCUUCUAAUUUGUUUCUCAGAUCUUGGAUCAUCCUUACUAGCAUUACUCCAAAGUUUUUUUCAGACAGGUUUCUUAUCUCUACUUCACUUAGGUGUUCUUCUGGGGUUUUGUCUUUUUCCUUCACCUAGCUCAUAUUUCUCUGACUCUUUAUUUUGUAUAGCUUUUGUGUGGUCUCCUUUUCGCAAGCUAAAGGGUUGUAGUCUUUCUUCUGGUGUCUGUCCCCUUGUGGGUGAUGUCGUUACAGGGGCUCAUGGCAGGCUUCCUGAUGGAGGGAACUGGUGCCUUCCCACUGGUAGGUGGAGCUGAGUCUUCUCCCUCUGGUGGGUGAGGCUUUGUCUCUGGGUGUGAUUUAAGGCAGCUGUGUGCCUGGAAGGACUUUAGGCAGCCUGUUUGGUGAUGUGUGGAGCUGUGUUCCUCCCCUGUUUGUUCCUUGGCCUGGGGCUUCUCAGCCCUGAUGAGUGGGUCCAGAUUUUUCCAAAAUGGCAGCCUUCGGGGGAGCUCACACUGAUGAUUAUUUCUGGGACCUCUGUGUCCAAUGACCUGCCCCACAGUGAGC